rnacentral:misc_RNA from 1 species
GGUCGUGCAUUACAGUUUCCCGGACUAGGUAUUUAUUUUCCGAAAUUUCGUGCAAUAACUUAAAUAUUACAACAUGAUAGCCAGGCCGUGGACAGAUGACCUGCCUAAGUGCAAGAAUACCAGCGUAGCAUCAUACUUCUCCCGUGUAGGAAGUGGAAAUCCUAACUCCAACGAUGAUUACCUGUGUUUCUACUGCGAGACCGAAGAUAACUCUUGCCUAUAUGGAGUAUUUGAACCGCAUAAUGGACUGGAAGCAGCUCGAAUCAUCAUGCAACGGAUGGCUGCAGAGCUCCUGUUCCCGCCACCAUCGGCCAGUAAUACCGAUGAGGAAAUUAGAGACAGAUUGAGAAACGCAUUCACCUCAGUGGAGAAAGCAUACAUAGAGAAUUAUGAUGGAAUGAUUGCUGAAAGGACAAGUCUACAGUAUCAACUACAAACUAUGAAUCAGCUAUCCCAAAACAGUGACAACAUACUCGCCCGUCUUAAAGAAAUCGACCAGCGCCUAUCCAGCGGAGCAACUGUGGUCAUAGCCCUAGUGUUAAACAACAAACUCUUCGUGGCCAACGUUGGGGAGAUGCGGGCGUUGCUAUGCAGGACUGACGACAAUUCCGUUCUGAGGGUGGUACAGUUAACAGUGGACCAUAGCUUGAACAACGAAGAUGAGUUAUUGAGGCUGUCGCAGCUUGGACUGGAUGUCAAUAAACUGAGGAACGCACAAUACCUCGGCAACCAAACAGGCACGAGGUGCCUUGGCAACUACUUGGUGAAGGGAUUAUGGAAGGCCUUCCCGACGCUAAGCGCCGCGUCUGCCGAGCCUGUAGUGGCUGUUAGCGAGAUACACGGGCCUAUUGCGUUGGACCAUUAUAGCAGAUUCCUAGUCCUAGUAAGCGCUGGUGUUUAUAAACGCAUUCAAGAGUCGCGUGGGAGUAGCGAACAAACCAACAAACAGCUUGCACAGAUCAUCGUAGAACACUUUAGAAACACUGAAGACUUUGCUACAGUCAGCCAAUCAGUCUUGGAAGAAAUAGAAGAAGAAUUUGUAUCUUAUUGCUAUAAGAAUAAUUUAACACCAAAACCUAACACGCAUAUGAGUUUACUUAUAAGAAAUUUCAACUUUCCGCUACCUAAUGUUAGGCCAGAAGAAACUACGAGCCAAAGUAAUAUAGUACCUAGGACGGCAUCGGUAAGGUUCAACCCCAUAGUACAGUCAAAGUCAAACACGUUAUUAAACGAGAUCGACUCAGAACUAUCAUCGACUAAUGAGGAGACGAACGAUUCGAAUAUCGAUACGAAUCGAUCGAUUGAAUCGAGUUCGGAAAUCUAUUUGGCGGGAAAGCCAUACGAUAAAGACAGGAGAAUUAAAGGUUAUGUCGACUUUUCUUGUUAUUAUGAGAACGUCGCUAAAGCGCGAAAGAGUGGCACUUUGCCUGGUUUUAUUAAGUAAUAUGAAAAAGAAAUAAAUAAAUUGUUCACUAAAUGUCAACUUCGCAGAAUGGUGAAAUUUUACUAAGCUUGACUGUACCAAAGUUGCCUUUAUGAAAUUUUGCCCUUUUGCGAAUAAAAUAAAAAAUACAUAAACAGUAGCUACAAAGCAUACUGAAUUCAAACUAAGAAUGCAUUGGAUCAUUUGGUGAUAGAAUCAACUAAACCAUACUCAAUAUAAAAAUAAUUCUAAAAAAAGUGUAAUUAGAUUCAUGGUAUAAGACCAGGUAUGCUCAAAACUGACAGCUAGCAUUUCAAGGUUAGCCCAACUGACGGCAUCCGAACCCUGCGUUGCCAUUUCGUAAAAAUUAAAUUACUAAUGUCCAAUGUUUUUAAUUGACUUUGCAAGGAAAUUUUCUACUUUUAGUAAAAUAUUUACGUACAGUUAUAAUGAUUUUUAUAAAUGUGACAAAUAAUAGUAAUUAAAUACAUUCGUCAGUAAUUCACUUAAUUUUCAAUAAUAAAAAUUACGUCCUUGAAAUGUUGGAUACCAAUUGAAUGGUAACACUUACGUGUUAUUGUAAUUUAUUUUUUUCAAUUUGAAUUUGGAAUUAAGCACAUAAUAACGGGUUCUUACCGCGUUUAAAUGGGGCUAUGAGACUGCCGAUAUUUCGACACUGUUGCAAGUGUCAUGAUCACGGGAUGACUGAUGAGAUUGGAGUGAAGUAGGUAGAUCCAUAAUUUUCUACGGGCAGACAUAUCUGUCUACCCUCUUUCUUUGCCGCUUGUAUAUGUAUUUGAUAUCGGAAUGUUCGGAACCAUCUGAACUCGCACCAAACUCACUACGACAAAUCGCACUCACUGUGUCCUCACG